rnacentral:rRNA from 1 species
UACAGAGGGUGCAAACGUUGUUCGGAAUUACUGGGCGUAAAGCGUGUGUAGGCGGUUCCAUAAGUCGGGCGUGAAAGCCCCGGGCUCAACCCGGGAAGAGCACUCGAUACUGUGGGACUAGAGUUUCGGAGAGGUUGGUAGAAUUCUUGGUGUAGAGGUGAAAUUCGUAGAUAUCAAGAGGAAUACCGGUGGCGAAGGCGGCCAACUGGACGAAAACUGACGCUGAGACACGAAAGCAUGGGGAGCAAACAGG